rnacentral:rRNA from 1 species
UGGGGGAUAUUGCGCAAUGGGGGCAACCCUGACGCAGCAAUGCCGCGUGAAGGAAGAAGGUCUUCGGAUCGUAAACUUUUGUCUUCAGGGACGAAAAUGACGGUACCUGAGGAGGAAGCCACGGCUAACUACGUGCCAGCAGCCGCGGUAAUACGUAGGUGGCAAGCGUUGUCCGGAUUUACUGGGUGUAAAGGGCGUGUAGGCGGGAUGGCAGGUCAGAUGUGAAAUACUCGGGCUUAACUCGGGGGCUGCAUUUGAAACCGUCGUUCUUGAGUGUCGGAGAGGGAAGCGGAAUUCCUAGUGUAGCGGUGAAAUGCGUAGAUAUUAGGAGGAACACCAGUGGCGAAGGCGGCUUUCUGGACGAUAACUGACGCUGAGGCGCGAAAGCGUGGGGAGCAAACAGG